GACGAACGCUGGCGGCGUGCUUAACACAUGCCAGUCGAACGGAAAGGCCCGGCUUUUGUUGGUUGCUCGAGUGGCGAACGGGUGAGUAACACGUGAGUAACCUGCCCUUGACUUUGUGAUAACUUCAGGAAACUGGGGCUAAUACCGGAUAGGAUCUCCUGCUGCAUGGUGUGGGUUGGAAAGUUUCGGCGGUUGGGGAUGGACUCGCGGCUUAUCAGCUUGUUGGUGGGGUAGUGGCUUACCAAGGCUUUGACGGGUAGCCCGCCUGAGAGGGUUACCGGCCACCUUGGGACUGCGAUACGGCCCAGACUCCUACGGGAGGCAGCAGUGGGGAAUAUUGCACAAUGGGCGGAAGCCUGAUGCAGCAACGCCGCGUGCGGGAUGCCGGCCUUCGGGUUGUAAACCGAUUUCGCAUGUGACGAAGCGUGAGUGACGGUAAUGGGUAAAGAAGCCACGGCUAACUACGUG
rnacentral:rRNA from 1 species